UACGUAGGGUGCAAGCGUUAAUCGGAAUUACUGGGCGUAAAGCGUGCGCAGGCGGUUCGCUAAGUCAGAUGUGAAAUCCCCGGGCUUAACCUGGGAACUGCAUUUGUGACUGGCGGGCUAGAGUAUGGCAGAGGGGGGUAGAAUUCCACGUGUAGCAGUGAAAUGCGUAGAGAUGUGGAGGAAUACCGAUGGCGAAGGCAGCCCCCUGGGCCAAUACUGACGCUCAUGCACGAAAGCGUGGGGAGCAAACAGG
rnacentral:rRNA from 1 species